rnacentral:tRNA from 1 species
GGUCUGGUGGUCUAGUGGUAUGAUUCUCGCUUAGGGCAAACCCUACAGCUCAGCUUGCGAGAGGUCCCGGGUUCAAUCCCCGGCCAGACCC